GUGGGCUGGAAAAAAAGAAUUUGGUUUUGGUAUUAUAAUCAAAUUCAAAAAAUAAACCGUAAUGAACAGUUAGAAAAGACUGUCACUUUGGUCAUCAUGGUCAAGGUGCUGAAUGUAGCGUGUGAUUUACCACACUAAUAUAUGAGGAAGAUAGCAGCAGCAGAUGCAAGUCCAACAUUGGCUGCAAGCCUUCUCUCUUCCAAGAUCACUUCUGUAUAAGGGCGAUGCAUCUCUGUGCUUCCAGGUUAUCAGUUAUAUCAGCUGUUUGUAACAGUUUUUCAAUGCUCAAAUUCUCCAGCUCAGCAGACUGCAUUUGGCAAGAGUCUUGGUGUUGCUAAAGGGUAGAUUUCAUUUUAUUUCUAGGUAAGGUGUAUUUCUCUGACCCUAGUGGUGACCCCAAGCAUGCUCUAAGGCCCCAGCAAGUUAAAUUAGCCCUUGGCUCACUUUCAUUUGUACACAGCUUCAAACCCUUCAACAAACUCCUGACUCCUAAAACACAUCUGAGUUCCAGGUGCGUGGUUAUCUCUCCCCUGCACUUUGGUUAGUGAGUUGUAGCUGUCUAUAAUGUGCAAAACAAGUGCAAAAUGCUAUGUCAAAAAUCUCCUUUCAUUUAGGCUUUGUUCAGGGUCAAAUACCUUUGCACAGGAGCAAAGCCAGUGUUGCAAGGAAACAAAUCCCACUUAGUGGUGUGUUAGAUACACGGCAGCCACUAGCAGAAGGUCCUGGACUUGUAAAUAUGAGCAAUACUCCGUGUGUCAACAAAAUGAGGUUGGAUAUUUUUAACUGUUGACUUCUUUAUACAGCAGUUAGAAAAUGAAGAAUUAAAGGUGAGCAGUUAAAAGUACAAACACUGUCAAGCAAAUUUAUUGAUGAGAUGACGGGCAAAAUCCUCAGGACAUUGGACACUGCCUGGUGAAAACAGAGAUUCAUGUUUUUACAGCCCAGAAAAGCCACUUACUGAGGAAUUAACAACACUAACUUAAGGAGGCGGACGUGAAUGUUAGGUUCAGCACCUGCUGUUAUGUGCCACAUCUUCUCACUUCUGUGCUUGAUGCAUGCCUGAAAGUUAAAUUUCCAAUAGCAGCAACUGGGUGAUUGUUUUCAGAGCGAAGCUGUAUACCUGCUGGUUUAAGACACUGAUUUGCCCACCCAGCCAGGAUGCAUCCGCACUUUUCCUUUGCCCCACAGCCAAGGAAUCCUCACCCCAAGCUCUCCGCCUGGCCAGCAGGAGGAUUUUUCCUCUGACCACAGGCUUGUGGCUGGGAAUGACAGCCCCUUCCUCCAGGCUGUCCAGGAACACAGCCGGGCGCACAUCCUGCUUCAAUAGAAGUGAUUCCCAUUAUUUAACCCCAAGCUGUGGGCUGUGGCACACCGCAACUUCAUGGAGGGACCUGAGACACUACCAAAAGCCUGUCGGUGGGCCAGGUGAUCUCGUUGCAUUUAUUGCUUUGUGAUGUGAAUCACUUACAAGUCACCCAUAACUUCAGCAUCUUGAAUCACGUGCGUGAAGCAACCGAGCUGUCCCGCUGAGCUUUACCAUUUGCCAGCUGUCGAUGAUAAAACGUUCUGCAUUGGAGAUGCUGCCUCUUCUUCCUCUGAGGUAUCGCAGGAGAAAUCGCAGACUGAUGUUUUUGGUGCAAACCGCCCACCUUUCAAUCAGCUCCGCCAGAAAGUUACAGAACGCUUUGUUCCAGUGAACUGCUGCCUUUCAGUCUUCCCUCAGCCCCCUCCCAAGUGAGCAGCACAAACGGGCUCUGUAACCACCACCCCUCUUCAGAUUUACCUGCACUAUUUUGGCUGCACAAACAAGGGAACGUGUUGAGAAGCGAUGCAGAGGAGUCAAUCCUCCUACAAGGAGGACUUGGCCCUGGAGGUGGGCGAAGUGCCCUGCCUGACCCCAGCGGGAGGAUUUUCAACUAACAAGAUGUGCCGUGGGAGGUGUGGUACCUACGGCGAUGCCUGGUGGACCUGCCAACCCUCACCGCAACAUCUGGGGAAAAUGCUCAGUAUUGAGUGGUG